ACUUGAUGAGAUUUAUGCUUACUUUGCUUUGAAAAUUGACCUUUUCAUUAAACAAAGCUUUACAAAGACCAAAUAAGUCCUUAUAAACUUUGUUUCCAAUGCAUCAUCACACAUGUGACUUGUCUGCAAAUAAGAAUUCUGCAUUCCUAGGGCCCAGUUCUCUUUUAUUUAUACCUUUGAUCUCAGCACAUUUUCUCUGGAGGUCUCCAAAUACUACUGUCCUUAUUGGAUCUUACCCUAAUGCUGCCUAAUGCCGCCAAAUGCCCAUGUCCUACAGUCAACUGUUCCAGUGGGAAAAUAAUAUUUACUUCUUCCUUUACAAGUGGCCACUCAGAACUGACCCAUGACAGUAUUCUUCAUCAUCUUCCCUUUGUAAACCUCCUGCAUCCAUAAGUCAAUUUCUUUAGGAUGAAACUUUAAUGAACUAAAAUAUCACAAAUGGCUGUUAUCCUGUAUCUGCUAUAUUUGUCGUCCAUUUCUCAACUUGGUCUUUACAGUUCACAUUUAUUCAUGAUUAAUGUGUUUCCAGUUAGUACUAGUAGAAAAAAAUUCCAUUUCUUCAUGGUUCACUAGAGAAGAUUAUAAACCUUCUAACUUAAAAUUAUGUUCAUAUUGAAAUUCUGCCCAAAUACAAAUCCCAGAUAAAGCUUCACAUGUCCUGUUAUGUUCUUCCUUGGUGACCUCAGCCUACAGAAAUUUGUGUUUUCUCCAAGUGUCUUUUGCAUUUAUGGCUCCCAGCAUAAACUUAAUCACACAUAUUUAAACUCUACAGUUGUUCUCUGUGUAAAUUAUUGCCUCAGCAGUGCUUAAUCUCCUUGUCGGUAGGAUCUAUAUUAUCCUUCCUCUGUAUCCCAUGAAGUGCCUAGAAUACUACUCUGUAGGGGUCAAAAGUGUUGAUAGAUUUGACUUUGUAAUGUCAUAAAUGGGAAAUUAUAAAGAAUAUUUUAUCUCUUCAAUUGUUAGAUUUCAAGAGUUGGGUUCUUUCUAAACUAAACUCCUGGAAAUCAGAGAAAAUGUAACCUGUUGACAGACUCACUCAGCAUCCAUCUCGGUGCCUUAUUAGUUAGAAUGCAAUCUCAGUGAAGCCAGGGAUGUUGACCCUCCUGUUCACCCCUACAAGAUGGCACACAAUUUGGGUCCUAGACAAGUGCACGUUGAAUGAAAAAAAGUGAGUUGUACCAAAUAAUUUCUGGGAUGUUUUCCUAGCCCAUAUUUCUCUUUUUGAAAACAUGCUAUGUGGUUUGUUGGUCCCUAAAAAACUCAUGUUAAAAUCUUGCUCCCAGAUUGGUAGUGUUGGGAGGUUCAGCCUACAUGGAGGCGUUUGGGUUAUGGAGUAGAUCUUGCAUCAGUGGCUUGCUGCUGUUCUUACUCUUGCAAGACUAGAUGAGUUCAUGGGACUGGAUUAGUACUUGCCAGAAGGGGUUGUUAUAAAGCUGGGAUACCCCUCAAGUUUUCCUCUUUUCACAUGCAUCCACCUCCCCUUUGGCCUUCUGUGUCAUGUUGUGACACAGCAAAAAGGCCCAUGCCAGAAGCCAGGGCCAUGCCUACAAACUUCUCAGCCUGCAUAACCAUGAGUUCCAUAAACCUCUUUUAAAUAAAUUAUGCAGUCUUGGGUAUUCUGCUAUAGCAACACAAAGCCAGUUAGGACAGAACACUACUUCCCUCACCAAAGGUGAGCCCCAUAAGCAGAGAAAGCCCCUUUUAUUUUUGUCAUAACUGAUUAGAAUUUUAAUACAUGCUUGACCUAAACCAGUCAGUCAGAUUCCCCCUUAUUCUUGUUGAACUAUUAACUUGGGGCACUGGAGUACAUAAUAGGGAUGAAAGCUGACAGUAGAAGUGAAUUGCAGGGCUGGAAGAACCACAUGCUGCCAUAGAUACCAACGGCAUAGCUCUCAGGUACCAGAAGGAGAAGACAAAGCUGAUCUGCAGAGAAAGGUGAAGGAGCAAAUCAAGGGGAAGAGACUCAUAGGGCAAGAAUAGACAAGCUUUGCCCCAGGGCUCUUGUCUGGUCCUGCCUCUGAUACCUCAGGAGUUUGACUCAUCCCCUGCCCUUAGUUUCCAUGAAUCACUCCUGGGCAGUCACCAGCCAUCUCUCAGGGUUUCCUAUUAUUAUGUCACCAAACAUAUUUUAUGAACUCAAAAUAUUCAAUAAAUAUGUGUAAUAGAGAUUGAAUUGAGAGGACCAUAAAGGUGCUUCUAAGUAAUAGACAGAGGACUUGAACCCUGCUGUCAGUUGCACCAUAGGUUGUGACUGAGUGCAAGUUAAGAAUGCUGAACCAGAUUACAUUCAUGGAUGCUUCUACCUCUCAAUUUCUGUCAUCUGCCAGAGAGAGAAAUAUUUGAAAGUUGUUCCUGCAUGUAGAACAAACAGUAAACAUCCUGAAAAGAUUUGAUAGCCAGUCUACCUUCUGUCCAUCACCUAUAGACACCCUCUUCCUUCUCAAGUCAAACUCAGUGGGUCAGUCAUGUUCACUACUAUGCUGUUACGGAGAUGGCUACGAGAGAGUGGAACCACACUGUGGAAGAAGCUUCUGUCUUCUCUGACAAGGAAGAGGAGACAUGGGAAGCUGGGAUGUCUGUUGCUUUGUGAUUCCAUGAUAGACUUGACAACACAGAAACUACCACAAUGUGAGGAAGCCCAGCAGUCCUCUGACCACACCAUACCUGAGCACAUUUACUGUGGACAGCAUGUUUAGCUUGAAGUCUUUCCUUCUACCCCAUCAUAGCUACCACUGUUGUGAGAACUCCCAUGUCCAGCACUCCAGGGAGGUGACAUCAGGUACGAAUAAGGUGAUACCAGGUACCGUGACUAUUUGUUAAAAUGUCAUGAACUAGAA
rnacentral:lncRNA from 1 species